rnacentral:miRNA from 1 species
CUGGCAGUCGAUGCUGGCUGUUGGCUGGUGGCCUCAGUUAUUUUUCACGUGGACCUAUCCACAUGGUCUGUCCAUGUGGGCUAGUUUGGGCUUCCUUAUAACAUGG